CAGAGAAACAAGCCCAGGGGUUUGAGGGGAUAACACAAGGUCUCCGAGGAAGAAGAAUUUGGGCAAAGUCAGUCUCUGUCUCGCCAUUGGAGCACCACUGUCUUCCUCUAUGUGUGCAUCGCACACCAUUGCCUUCCUCUAGUGUGCAUCGCCAUCGCCAUCUCACCCAGUGGAAGAAGGAUUGAUUGGGCAAAGUCACUGUCUCUUUGUCUUGCUAUUGGAGCAUCACUGUCUUCCUCUGUGUCUGCAUCGCCAUGCCAUCUCACCCAGUUCUUUCAGCAGUUUCAGGUGUUGAAAUAUUUGCAAGUAAGAUAUUCAUAGGACUCCAUGAAACUUCCGUGCAUUGGUGUCACAGGGACAUAUAACAUUGUCAAGUGGAAUCCACAUAAAUUUCAUGCACGUUCUAUAGUUUUCAUGUUGAAGUUCCUCAGAAGCACAAACAUUGAAGCUUGGGUGUCCUUGGGUGAAUGGUUCUUUCAAUAACAAGUAUCUUUGUGCACGUUUCUGAUACAAACAUAGCAGCAUACUUGUUGAACAAAGCUACUGGAAACUUAAUUUCCUCAAUACUGUCUCUAUUGUGGAAGUGCUGUUUGCUAACUUGCCAAUUAAGGUAAUCUGCAUUAUAGUGUCUGACAAAAAAGCCUUACAAAGUAUAAAAGAGAAGCUGCAUCAUGAGUUCAUUUUACGCAUAAUGUUAAUGUUGUAUAGUAAGUUGUAACACUUGUGUUCUUAUUCCAAAUAGCCUUCGUAUUUUUGUAUACCCCUGUUUGGUUUUUGCAUAAGUUGAUAAGUUCACUUUGUGUUCUUAGUUGAGAUACCGGCAUACCUGUAUCUGGUUUUUAGUUUAUUAUUUUAAGUGCUUUUGCUAUUGUAAUUGGAAAUUAAACUAAAAGUUGCACCAGUUCUUUUAUAAAAAAUGCCUGAUCCAUUUUCCAUCAUAGUUGGCAUGAGAAUAAAAGUCACAUCACGCAGUGGUAAUUAAAUACAUUCACAUUUAUGGCAUUGUUACCAGAGCACUACCGUGAUGGAUUUAUAAAAUCUUUUGUCUCACAAGUUAAACCCUUUCGUCAAAGUCGUUCAACAGUUCUGUAUUUGAUCCUCCAAUCCCAGAAGCAAUGUGACUAUAAUACUAAUCAGUAUCACCAACAAAAAUUUAUACUUCGUAUAUAUUUAUCCUAAAAAACAAAAAAAAAAAUUCUACUUUGUAUAGACAAUAUACAACAAAUGUACCCAGAUGUGCUACGUAUGGUGAUGUUAUCAAAGCAAUCCCUUUAGAUUCAUUGAUGUUUGUAAUAUUCUCCAUGCUCUCAUCAAAUCACUCUACCCACGAGACAACAUAUUUUUAGCGCAUUUAUAAGAAUUGGAAUGUCAAAAGGUAUAUAUAUCCAUUAACCAAGCCUAAUCUGCCACUUAUUCAUGUCUCUCAACAAAAUUUAAUUGCUGGCUACAUUCAUCCUUAUGUUAAGAGUUCCGUAUACAAUGCAUACAUCAUCUGGAUAUAUUCAUACAUCUGUAGAAGUAUGACAAUAUUUCACAACGUCAUGGGCUCACCACUGGCAUUGUAAUCACUUCUGUAGAAGUAUGACAAUAUUUCACAACAUCAUGGGCUCACCACUAUUGUAAUCACGUUGUGUGAAGCACACUCCUGUGCACCUGGUUUGAGAAAAAAAGAUAUCACCAUAUGUACUACACUUUGAGAGCCACAUUAGAUGUGUUUUCUAUUACAUUUCUUAUAGAGCCAUAUUAGAUGCUGACUUACAUAAUCGAUCAGUGAUUUAUAUUUGGACUACUACUAAAUUGGUAGUCAUUUCCCUCCAAUGACUUGCAUAAUCGAUCGAUGAUUUAUAUAUAACUACUACUAAAUUGGUAGUCAUUUCCCUCUGAUAAUCAAUUUUGGGAUAGACUGCCUCCUCGGGAGGCUUUGGCUAUGGCUAUGGCUGACAAAGUUAGAUCUUAAGGUUUAAAAUUUAAAUGACGUAAAUGGUGGGAAACAUACACGCUCAUUCAAUAAUUAUGCAUUCCAUUGUCAACAUGUAUAUCCUAUUUCUUCUUGGUAUAUGAAAAAGUGGCCAUUUUGGGACCUACAAUUGCAAUUUCUUCAACUUUUCUUUUCCAAAUUUUCUCCAUCGAUAUCUACCUUUUGACCCAUGGAAUGAAUGCCUGGAAAAGUGAGUGACUAGAAGGUAAACGCUACAAUUUGUGCAUACCUUUAUCAUUGUCUUGAUUACCUGUGACUGACUUUAAAAAUAUAUAUGUAUAUAGGUAAAUAUAUUAGCUUUCCCAUUGAUCUAGAACUGUUUUCCUUCAAAUGUCUGACCGAAUCUCCAGUUUGCCGGAGCAACAUUGUAGGAGGUUAUGCUUCUUUGACUGCUAGUGGUGACCUCGAAUGACAGAGGCUGUCCAGUAAGGUUGAUAUCGCACUGCCAGUUUUGUCCCCAGUUCCUUCCCAUGGCUCUUCUUGUGAUAUCUGCAAUUUCGGCAAAGGCGGCCUCUGAGAUCUCAAAGUGUGCUCGGGGGAAAUUGCACCAGCCACCAUAAUCAGCUGGAAGCCCAUAAUUUGGUGGGCAGAAGUCAGUGGCAGUAAGAGUGAUGGAUGGGCUUCCCUGGAGGCACCACAGAAUGUGGUCGACACAUCUCACCUCGAAGCAACCACCGCAGAAAGCAAAACAGGCAUAAUACACUUGUGUGUAUAAGAAAGUGAAAGAGCAAGACUGGAUGUGGCAAAAGACAAAACUAGUAGGGGGGGGUUACCGGUGAUGAUGGAGGCAUCUGUUUCUUUGAAGUAUGUUGCCGUAGCAGACUUCCAUACACCAUCUUGGGCGGCAGGAGGAGGAGGAGCAGUAGCAGUAGCAGUAGCAGUCGUGUUGCUGUUGGAUGCAUGAAGGAGAAUGAAG